rnacentral:tRNA from 1 species
UAGCUCAGUCAGUUGAGCGUGGCACUGACAACGCCAAGGUUGCGGGUUCAAUUCCCGU